CGUCGAACGCGAGCGCCGGUCUCGCACGUCUGUCCGUUUUUCGUCUCGUUUUUCGUCCGCUGUCGAGAACUUCGUCGUCGCGUGCCCCACGAUAUUAUUAUAUUUUAUAAUAUUGUAAUAUUGCCCCCGUCGUCGUCGUUGCAUUCGCGCCGCACUCGUAAAACGUUUUCUCGUGUUCGUCUGGUGUGUUAAUUUUGGUCUUUUGUUUGUUUGUUUGUUUUUUUUUUUUUGUCGAAGAAAUUUUUUUCGCCCCCGUCCGGAAAAACCGAAAUUGUUUCGUGAGUGCGCGUGUCCGUUUGUGUUAAGUUUGGUGUUUUUUUUUUCCACUGCUUGGAACCCGCACAGACCUGUGCUGCACGCCGCCGUCAUGACAUCCGCACUCCACUGCUCCGGACUCUGAGAGAGAUUUCCGUGACUUACACGUCGUUGUGUUAUUCCGUGAAAAAUAAUAUGGCUCUCAUUCCAUAGUUCGCCUUGUGAACUUGAAAAGAGAUUAUACGCGGGAAAAUAACCAAACUGUGACAUUAACGAAUCUCAACUUGUUCGUUAAUAUUCUCCCGAUCCAAUCGUACGACGGUUUGUGAACACAACCAUUACCACCACAACCAUGGUUCUGAGGCACGGAUUCUGCCGCCAAUGCUCCGACAUGCUGUUCGUCGUCUGCACAAUCACCAUCGUCAUUACAGGGCGCCCUAACGAGUCCUGCGUUUUCGUGUCCUGCGGUCUAUAUUUUUACUUUUACGAG